ensembl:lncRNA
UGAUCGUGAAGCCCAGCUGCAGCAUCAGCUGGAGGUGCGUAAACUGGAGAUUGAGGCUGACAAAGCUGUCAAACUACGGGAGCUGGAGCUCCAGGCCCAAAGGCUAACCCACAUCCCACCCACACCUGCUAGCGACACAGUAAGUGUGUGGAGAGUGGGGCUGGCAGCCCAGAUAAAGCCUGAGGCGAAGCCCCUUGGAGAGAGGUGUGGGUGGAGUGUCGUGCCACUGCAGAGACGACCUUUUGAAUAAAAGCCACUUCCCUGUGAGGAGUCCAGAUGAAGUGUGUGGUGUCAUCAUGCCAACAUUUAAAGAGUGCUUCAGAAAUAGGCUGUGGAUGC